GACGAACGCUGGCGGCGUGCCUAAUACAUGCAAGUAGGACGCAGUUGCGAACGGGUGAGUAACGCGUAGGUAACUACCUAUUAGAGGGGGAUAACAAUUGGAAACGAUAGCUAAUACCGCAUACUAGUAGAUGGACCUGCGUUGUAUUAGCUAGUAGGUAGGGUAAUGGCCUACCUAGGCAACGAUACAUAGCCGACCCGAGUGGGUGAUCGGCCACACGGGGACUGGGACACGGCCCAGACUCCUACGGGGGGCAGCAGUAGGGGAUCAUCGGCAAUGGGGGGAAACCUGACCGAGCAACGCCGCGGGAGUGAAGAAGGUUUUCGGGUCGUAAAACUCUGUUGUUAAGGGAGCGGUACUUAACCAGAAAGGGACGGCUAACUACGUGCCAGCAGCCGCGGUAAUAC
rnacentral:rRNA from 1 species